AUGACUCCCCCACACCCUACAAAAAAAAGUUGGCCCAAGAUCCAGGCGUCCCUCCGAUCAGCCCAGGUCUCCAUCGACCCGGGCCAGGGAGCUCCUCUGGCAGCCCCGGAGCCCCGGCACAGAGCAACCUUCAGGGAGGCGCCACGCGUGGUUCCCGCUACCCGCCAGGAACCCCGUCCACUGGGCAAACGGAGGGGCCUGCGCCGGUCGACAUCCCAGGCCCUGUCGCGCCCCCACCUACCGUAUGGGACCGGAGGAGGAGAAGGCGCGGGCGCGGGCUCCCAGAGACAGCGUGAUCCGUCCCGGGAGGAAAGUUUGUGCCAUACAGAGGAGGCAGCAGGGGGAGGACGUGGGCGCCAGUGGGUGGAGGGCGGUGGCGCCGCGUGCUCGUGUGUCUGUCCCUCUAGCGAUCGGUGCGUCUGUCCCUCCCCAGAGACCGCGGCCGCAGCGCUGUCGCUCUCUGCACCCUGCGCCCAGCGCGCUCCGGCUCCAGCCCCGACGCGCCCCCGCCGCUGCCGCCGCGCGUCCGCCGGCUACACUUCCUCUUCCUCUGAACUCAUGUGCAAAAUAUGCUGCGCUGCAUCUUCAGGGAAAGCCGCGCGGCCCCUGACAGCAGCCGCUGGAGCGGUGGACCCGCCCAGCUCUCCCUGCGCCCACUCGGAGUUCCGCGGUCACCUCCACGUGGCCGAGCUGCCAGCGACCCUGGCAGCCGCAGGACCCAGGGGUCAGAGGCUCAGGGAUCCUCCCUCCCAGCCCCUCCCAGACAAGGUUGUGUGCUGGCAGAAGAGAGCAUGGGAGACUAGGGUCCCUCAAGAUUUGAGCCGGGAUGCUGGAAGGGCGACUGCCAUCAAGGUGCUGAUGGCUGGGGGGGGGGUGGGGCAGACUUGGGAGAGGACCAUUUCUCCACCCCAUUCUACAGGUGGGAGCAUCCCCAGACAUCUCAGGUGCUACCAGAAUCACUCCUUGGGAGUUAGUGCUUCAGGAAAGGGUAAUGCCACUGUCUCCCUUGCCACCUCCUAG
rnacentral:lncRNA from 13 species